rnacentral:miRNA from 1 species
CUAAUUUCUGAUGCUCUUCCC